rnacentral:tRNA from 1 species
GGAGGGAUGGCCGAGUGGUUGAAGGCGACGGUCUUGAAAACCGUAGAUCGAAAGAUCCGUGGGUUCGAAUCCUACUCCCUCCGCCA